AGUGAUAUUAAUGGUGAGGUGAGGUGAUAUUAAUGGUGAGGUGAAGUGAUAUUAAUGGUGAGGUGAGGUGAUAUUAAUGGUGAGGUGAUAUUAAUGGUGAGGUGAUAUUAAUGGUGAGGUGAUAUUAAUGGUGAGGUGAUAUUAAUGGUGAGGUGAGGUGAUAUUAAUGGUGAGGUGAUAUUAAUGGUGAGGUGAGGUGAUAUUAAUGGUGAGGUGAUAUUAAUGGUGAGGUGAUAUUAAUGGUGAGGUGAGGUGAUAUUAAUGGCGAGGUGAGGUGAUAUUAAUGGUGAGGUGAAGUGAUAUUAAUGGUGAGGUGGAGGUGAUAUUAAUGG